AAAGCCUUUUUUUUUUUUCCUUCUUCUCCUUUUUCUUCUCUUUCGGCCACACGAACAGCUCUCAGAGCAGAAAGUUACGGGGAAAAAAAAAUAGCGAAAACUUGGCAAUAUUUUCCCUCCUCAAUUACCUUUUCGCAAACAGCGGUGCUCUGGGGGAUUUUUUUUUUCUUUUCUUUUUUUCCUUUUUCUUUUUUUUUUCUUUUUUUUUUUUUUGCUGGUGUAUCGCCGCGCGUUUCGCCUCCACAAUAGGUUUAUUCUCCAGCCCUCCGGGUCGCGGUGUGUUUCAGUUACAAAACGGGAUUUUUUCGCUCCUCUCUCCCCUCUCUGCCUCAGAGGAUCUGCAGUUUCAAAAAGCCGAUUGAGCACGGCGUGAAAGCGCGAGGCUGACGACCGGGGGGGCCUCCUACCGCCACUAGCGCAAUCCUCGUUCCGUGCCCCGCAAGGAGGAGCCCCAGUGGAACCCACAGCGCAUCGCAUCCCCGCUUUCCCCCCCCCCUCAUAUCCCCGGCACCUCGCACCCCCCGUGGAUGUCACCAGCAUCGCUGUUUCAAGGCUGGGGAUGGUAUUCCCAGCUCAGCCGGGCGCUUUCAUUCAUAAAACUGCAAGAUUGUAUCCACGAAUGUGUGUAUAAUGAACUCAGAAGGAAUGCAGCACUAAAAGAAGCCUUUGUAAUGUUGCUAUUUUAAGGAGACCCUUGGGUAUGGCACGUGUUGAACUGAGUUUCUCUAACGUCUUACAACAAACCAAAAUGUUUAGAUCCCCCUACUGAUGUGAAAGUGCAUUAAAAAAAAUACAUAAUCAAUCUAAACUGGCUAAGGUUUUGACCAGGAAUUAUUGCUCUUGUGUAUUGUAGCUAACUUUUACAUGGCCUAAUAAUAAACAUCUCCUCGUCCCAGCUGGGAGAAUGUUUCCCUUCUGCUGGAGAUGAGAUCCCAGCCUGGAUAAAACACCUCUUGUCCUUUCUCUCCUGGGUCACUCAGGUUCACUGAAACAUCACGACUUACAUCAGCCAAAGCCUUUGAUCAGGGAGGGAAAGGUCUGACAUGGAUGGGGUUGACAGCCACGCUGCAAAAAUCCCUCAUUGUGCAAGAAGCCAGUCCAAUGACUGAGUGUCACCAAGGGUGAGACAGCCUUUUCUGCACUGUUUUCACUUGGCUAUUGCUGGUGUUUUGUUUGCAAAGUCAAGGCCAAAAUAUACAAGAAGCAGCUUUGGACACGUUGCAUUUGUGCAUUAAGCCGGAUAGCCAUGAUGAAUUUCUGGCCAUUUUUGUUGUAUGCGUUGUAAAGAGCAAAAUUUUGCUGUCAACCUUCUAUUUUUGCAUGGUCAGAGAGGAGAAGGAGUAGAAUAGAGGUGUAAUUGACACUGUUUGUCCAAAGCUGAAGUCGUAACUCCUGGCUGAGAUGACUGGAAGCUGUGUGUGUGAUGGCUUCUUUGUUGGCUCUUUAAGAAAAUAUCUGCUCUGGGUCUCAUGGACAAAACCCAGGGUGAAAAAUCCUCUCAGUGCAAAAUGAGAAGCCAGAUGAAAAGCCCAGAAAAGCUGUGGAUGCUCCACCUCUGGAGGUGCUCAAGGCCAGGCUGGAUGGGACCCUGGGUUUCCUGAUCUGGUGGGUGGUAAACCUGCCCAUGGCCCAGGGUUGGGACUGGAUGACCUUUGAGGAUGUUUUCAGCCUAAGCUAUUCUAUGAUUCAAUGACUUUCUCCAUUAGCAUCCAGCACUCAAGGAACGGGGUUGCUUUGGAAAUGAAUGUCAGAAUAAGGAAAAUAGGCUUUUUGUACUCACAGAAAACAAAUGCUCAAAAAGAAUGAGGGUGAGAGUCAAAGCUAUUAAAACACUUCCUGGGACAGUAUUUUGGUUUUCAGCAGCUUCCUCUUCUGUUUUGUUUCAAUUCCUUCUAAACCCUGCUCCUCGUCCUCCGAGUGGU